rnacentral:rRNA from 1 species
AUGAUCAAGCCGAUUUGUAGCCAUUGGGCUGCUUGGUUGCAGCAAGUCCACAAUGCACCUCCAAGUGGUAUCGUUGAAUUCGAUUAUCGACAAAAUUGCGCAAGAAGGUACAAGGACAUGGAAGCUUCUGGUCGCAAGUCAUUUCAGCUUGAGCAUUGUUGGAAACUUCUUCAAGAUAGCGAGAAGUGGAAGUUGAUUGACAAAGAAUCCCCACCGAAGAGAGGUGCACUCACCAAGAUGGAUGAUGAUUAUGAAGAUGAUGAUUUCCCAAGAAACAAGAACAAGCCCAAUGGAAACAAGAAGGCCAAGGACAAGGUCAAGAAGGAAGAGGCAUCAAGCUUGCGAGACAAGCUAGAUCACAUCGUCAAGUCCAAUGAGGUAUUGGUGAUCAAGAAAUUGGAGGCAAAGGAGUUGGCCAAGAAGAAGGCUCAAGAAAAGCAAGAGAAGUAGCAACUACUCAAGGAGGAGACCAUGCGCAAGGCCGCCAUUGAGGAGAGAAGAGCCAUGGUCGAGGAGAACAAAGCCAUGGCCAAGCUCCUUCACGAGGAGAACAAGAUCAUGAUGAUGAAUCGAAAUGAGAUGGAUGAGCUCACCAAAGAAUGGCAUGACAUAACAAGGUUGGAGAUCUUGGAGAGGAGGAGGCUAGCUGCAUGA